rnacentral:rRNA from 1 species
UACAGAGGUCCCAAGCGUUGUUCGGAAUUACUGGGCGUAAAGCGCACGUAGGCGGCUUUGUAAGUUAGAGGUGAAAGCCUGGAGCUCAACUCCAGAACUGCCUUUAAGACUGCAUCGCUUGAAUCCAGGAGAGGUGAGUGGAAUUCCGAGUGUAGAGGUGAAAUUCGUAGAUAUUCGGAAGAACACCAGUGGCGAAGGCGGCUCACUGGACUGGUAUUGACGCUGAGGUGCGAAAGCUAGGGGAGCAAACAGG